rnacentral:rRNA from 1 species
UAGGUGCAUGAAGCGAACCCGGAGAACUGAAACAUCUAAGUACCCGGAGGAAAAGAAAUCAACCGAGAUUCCCUAAGUAGCGGCGAGCGAACGGGGAGCAGCCUGCAAGUGAUAGCAGAAGUGUUAGUGGAACAGUCUGGAAAGUCUGGCAAUAGAGGGUGAUAGCCCCGUACACGAAAACUCAUCUGUGAUACUAAGCUUGCGAAAAGUAGGUCGGGACACGUGUUAUCUUGACUGAACAUGGGGGGACCAUCCUCCAAGGCUAAAUACUACCAACUGACCGAUAGUGAACUAGUACCGUGAGGGAAAGGCGAAAAGAACCCCUGUUAGGGGAGUGAAAUAGAUCCUGAAACCGUAUGCGUACAAGCAGUAGGAGCAGACUUGUUCUGUGACUGCGUACCUUUUGUAUAAUGGGUCAGCGACUUAUUUUCAGUGGCAAGGUUAACCGUAUAGGGGAGCCGUAGGGAAACCGAGUCUUAAUAGGGCGUCUUAGUCGCUGGGAAUAGACCCGAAACCGGGCGAUCUAUCCAUGGCCAGGUUGAAGGUGCCGUAACAGGCACUGGAGGACCGAACCCACUAAUGUUGAAAAAUUAGGGGAUGAGCUGUGGAUCGGAGUGAAAGGCUAAUCAAGCCCGGAGAUAGCUGGUUCUCCUCGAA